rnacentral:SRP_RNA from 11 species
GCUAGACUGUGUGGCUUGAGCGAAGGCUUAAAGAUGGUUGGACGUUGAUUCAGCCCCAUCAGAUUGGCUCUAUUAGUGCACAAACUGGCUUUCCCGUUCCAAGUUGUGAGCUGGACCAUGUGGCUUGAUCAAAGGCUUGGGUCACGUGGUCCCUAAUGUAGAGGACACUACGUAAGGCUGGUUUCACAAAACUGCGACAACCCCCACACGACAGUGGAAGGAUAACAGGUCCGGGCUCCAUGAGUUCGUAAUAAUCUGUUGGUCUGUCUCUAAUGAUCUGAAAACAAUU